rnacentral:rRNA from 1 species
GACGAACGCUGGCGGCGUGCUUAACACAUGCAAGUUGAACGGAAAGGCCCUGCUUGCGGGGUACUCGAGUGGCGAACGGGUGAGUAACACGUGGGUGAUCUGCCCUGCACUUCGGGAUAAGCUUGGGAAACUGGGUCUAAUACCGGAUAGGAGCCAUCUUUAGUGUGGUGGUUGGAAAGUUUUUUCGGUGUAGGAUGAGCUCGCGGCCUAUCAGCUUGUUGGUGGGGUAAUGGCCUACCAAGGCGGCGACGGGUAGCCGGCCUGAGAGGGUGUACGGCCACAUUGGGACUGAGAUACGGCCCAGACUCCUACGGGAGGCAGCAGGGGGGAAUAUUGCACAAUGGGCGCAAGCCUGAUGCAGCGACGCCGCGUGGGGGAUGAAGGCCUUCGGGUUGUAAACUCCUUUCGCUAGGGACGAAGCUUUUUUGUGACGGUACCUAGAUAAGAAGCACCGGCUAACUACGUG